AAUGCAAGUGUUUAACAGAUGCUUCACUAUUAAAAUAUUUUCCCCCCAAGUCUCAAAUAUUGAAGAAUCUCUAACCAGGCUCGAAACGCCGGUCUCAGUGGCUAUUGAGUUACCCACCAAGUUACCCCGGGACACCAGUCCCUACGAAGACCUUGGGCGAUUUUGAAGUGCGGGCACCUCGAUUCCCCGAAUCUGUAGUGUGGCUGGUAUCGGUGUUCCCCUGGUUUAACUAGCCUGUUUGAAGGCACAGAUCAUUCAUGGGGAUGUAUAACCGAAACCAGUCCUCUCCACCGCCUGGGGAUCUUCACUUUCGCAGUCUACGACUGCCUGUGACUCCAGAAAGACAAACUGCAGAUUGGCCAAGGUACAUCUCAGAUCAGAUCCCUCUGGGAAAAGCGCGGGAAUGCUUGGCUCUAGUAGUUAGGAGCUCUGGUGAGAGCGCCCCUAGUGCCAUUUUCCCAUCCCUGCCCUUGACAGUCCCCUUUGGUCUAAAUUCACGGUUCUAGACAGUCAAAGUCUACCUGCUGGGUGUCCACUCUCAAGCCAUAGGUUUUCAAUCCUAAAAGGGAUUAGGACCUUGGCUCAAAAUGUGGUCAACGCAGUGUUCAAAUUAGGAGGGCAGCUGGGAGAUGGCAGCAGGGGAUGAAAGUAUGACUCCUACUUCGUCCGCAACUGUGGGUCUGGCACCUCUUGACUUGCCAGUAUGCUGGCAAACAACCCAUCUCUCUUGGAGAAUCCACACUUCGUUUCUUCUAGGUCCAGCCUAAAUGUUACCUCCUCCAGGGAGCCUUUCCAGAUACUGCUUCUCC
rnacentral:lncRNA from 1 species